AACGCGAAGAACCUUACCAGGGCUUGACAUGACCACCGAUACUCCAGAGAUGGGGUAGCCCUUCGGGGGUGGCCACAGGUGUUGCAUGGCUGUCGUCAGCUCGUGCCGUGAGGUGUUGGGUUAAGUCCCGCAACGAGCGCAACCCUCGUCGCUAGUUAGGCUGUCUAGCGAGACUGCCGGAAGCAAACCGGAGGAAGGCGGGGAUGACGUCAAGUCAGCAUGGCCCUUACGUCCUGGGCUACACACACGCUACAAUGGCCGGUACAACGGGUAGCAAGAACGCGAGUUGGAGCUAAUCCCAGCAAAGCCGGUCUCAGUUCAGAUUGCAGGCUGCAACUCGCCUGCAUGAAGGAGGAGUUGCUAGUAACCGUGGGUCAGCACACCGCGGUGAAUAUGUUCCCGGGCCUUGUACACACCGACAUA
rnacentral:rRNA from 1 species